CGAGGAACAUGACCUUCGGCGGGGGAUAGCCGGCCCAACGGCCGGGUAAUACCGCGUACGACCACAUGGGGACAUCCCUGAGUGGUGAAAGCAGCAAUGCGCCGAUGGAGUGCCUCGCGGCCUAUCAGCUAGUUGGUGAGGUAACGGCUCACCAAGGCGACGACGGGUAGCUGGUCUGAGAGGAUGGCCAGCCACAUUGGGACUGAGACACGGCCCAGACCUCUACGGGAGG
rnacentral:rRNA from 1 species